rnacentral:rRNA from 1 species
UGGCUCAGAUUGAACGCUGGCGGCAUGCCUUACACAUGCAAGUCGAACGGCAGCGCGGGAGCAAUCCUGGCGGCGAGUGGCGAACGGGUGAGUAAUACAUCGGAACGUGCCCAAUCGUGGGGGAUAACGCAGCGAAAGCUGUGCUAAUACCGCAUACGAUCUACGGAUGAAAGCAGGGGAUCGCAAGACCUUGCGCGAAUGGAGCGGCCGAUGGCAGAUUAGGUAGUUGGUGAGGUAAAGGCUCACCAAGCCUUCGAUCUGUAGCUGGUCUGAGAGGACGACCAGCCACACUGGGACUGAGACACGGCCCAGACUCCUACGGGAGGCAGCAGUGGGGAAUUUUGGACAAUGGGCGAAAGCCUGAUCCAGCCAUGCCGCGUGCAGGAUGAAGGCCUUCGGGUUGUAAACUGCUUUUGUACGGAACGAAACGGUCUUUUCUAAUAAAGAAGGCUAAUGACGGUACCGUAAGAAUAAGCACCGGCUAACUACGUG